GGGCCUAUAGCUCAGAUGUGGUUAGAGCGCGCGCCUGAUAAGCGCGAGGUCACAGGUUCGACUCCUGUUAGGCCCA
rnacentral:tRNA from 1 species